UAGGGAAUCUUCGGCAAUGGACGGAAGUCUGACCGAGCAACGCCGCGUGAGUGAAGAAGGUUUUCGGAUCGUAAAGCUCUGUUGUAAGAGAAGAACGAGUGUGAGAGUGGAAAGUUCACACUGUGACGGUAUCUUACCAGAAAGGGAGGGACGGCUAACUACGUGCCAGCAGCCGCGGUAAUACGUAGGUCCCGAGCGUUGUCCGGAUUUAUUGGGCGUAAAGCGAGCGCAGGCGGUUAGAUAAGUCUGAAGUUAAAGGCUGUGGCUUAACCAUAGUACGCUUUGGAAACUGUUUAACUUGAGUGCAAGAGGGGAGAGUGGAAUUUCAUGUGUAGCGGUGAAAAGCGUAGAUAUAUGGAGGAACACCGGUGGCGAAAGCGGCUCUCUGGCUUGUAACUGACGCUGAGGCUCGAAAGCGUGGGGAGCAAACAGGAUUAGAUACCCUGGUAGCCCACGCCGUAAACGAUGAGUGCUAGGUGUUAGACCCUUUCCGGGGUUUAGUGCCGUAGCUAACGCAUUAAGCACUCCGCCUGGGGAGUACGACCGCAAGGUUG
rnacentral:rRNA from 1 species